CUUGCGCGAUUGAUAAACGUGCUUCAUAGCUUUGAUAUUCCUGUUGAGAGUGGAGAAAACGACGAAUUGAAGUGAAAGUUGUCAGACUAAUUUUGAGUCUGUGAUUUGAUAUCAUCAAGAGUUGGAGUUUAGCCAUUGCAAAGUGGUCGUUGACUAUUGCACGUGGAGAAGGCUUGAAGGCGUGAGGCUGUGGAGCAUCAAUGAGAUGCUCAUUUCCUUAUGGAUCUGGUACGUGUGAUGUUGGCGUGUGGACUAGAGAAAUGGG